CCUACGGGUGGCUGCAGUGGGGAAUAUUGGACAAUGGGCGAAAGCCUGAUCCAGCCAUGCCGCGUGUGUGAAGAAGGCCUUCGGGUUGUAAAGCACUUUCAGUGGGGAAGAAAGCCUUGGGGCUAAUACCCUCGAGGAAGGACAUCACCCACAGAAGAAGCACCGGCUAACUCCGUGCCAGCAGCCGCGGUAAUACGGAGGGUGCGAGCGUUAAUCGGAAUUACUGGGCGUAAAGCGCGCGUAGGCGGUCUGAUAAGCCGGUUGUGAAAGCCCCGGGCUCAACCUGGGAACGGCAUCCGGAACUGUCAGGCUAGAGUGCAGGAGAGGAAGGUAGAAUUCCCGGUGUAGCGGUGAAAUGCGUAGAGAUCGGGAGGAAUACCAGUGGCGAAGGCGGCCUUCUGGACUGACACUGACGCUGAGGUGCGAAAGCGUGGGUAGCAAACAGGAUUAGAUACCGAGUAGUC
rnacentral:rRNA from 1 species